rnacentral:rRNA from 1 species
GACGAACGCUGGCGGCGUGCCUAAUACAUGCAAGUCGAACGCAGUGGGGACGGGUGAGUAACACGUGGGUAACCUCCCAUCAGAGGGGAUAACACUUGGAAACAGGUGCUAAACCGAUACUGAUGGAUGGACACGCGGUGCAUUAGCUAGUUGGUGAGGUAACGGCUCACCAAGGCCACGAUGCAUAGCCGUCUUGAUGUGGUGAUCCGCCAACCUGGGGCUGCGAACCGGCCCAGCAGCCGACGGGAGGCAGCAGUAGUGAAUCUUCGGCAAUGGACGAAAGUCGGACCGAGCAACGCCGCGUGAGUGAAGAGGGUGUUCGGAUCGUAGAACUCUGUUGUUAGAUAAGCGGUAUCUAACCAGAAAGCCACGGCUAACUACGUGCCAGCAGCCGCGGUAAUAC